UACGAAGGGGGCUAGCGUUGCUCGGAAUCACUGGGCGUAAAGCGCACGCAGGCGGCUUGUUAAGUCAGGGGUGAAAUCCUGGAGCUCAACUCCAGAACUGCCUUUGAUACUGGCGAGCUUGAGUCCGGGAGAGGUGAGUGGAACUGCGAGUGUAGAGGUGAAAUUCGUAGAUAUUCGCAAGAACACCAGUGGCGAAGGCGGCUCACUGGCCCGGAACUGACGCUGAGGUGCGAAAGCGUGGGGAGCAAACAGG
rnacentral:rRNA from 1 species